rnacentral:misc_RNA from 1 species
UGGGAGAGACCAUUUGUAAUGGCCCCAUUGAUGGAUUUACUGGGAUCAGAUGUUGAGAAUGAUACUGUUGCUUGCUGGCAUUCUUUAUCAAUACAUUCUGGUGGACUUUUUGAAUCAUGGGAGAAACUGGGUGGUGAAUACCUCAUUGGGAAGGAAGAGAUGAAAAGAGUGCUGCCGAUUGGAAAUCACUUGUGGGAUUGGUCACGAAAGACUUCUGUGAUGGGUGUUAUUAAUUUGACCCCAGAUAGUUUUAGUGAUGGAGGAAAGUUCCAGUCUGUGGAUUCUGUAGUUUCUCAUGUCUGCUCGAUGAUUUCAGAUGGGGCGGAUAUUAUUGAUUUUGGUGCUCAAUCAACAAGACCAAUGGCCUCUAGGAUAUCCCCUCAGGAGGAAUUAGAUAGACUAAUGCCUGUCUUGGAAGCU